rnacentral:tRNA from 2 species
CGGGGCGUAGCGUAGCGGCCAGCGCGCCUGCUUUGGGAGCAGGAGAUCGGGAGUUCAAAUCUCCCCGCCCCGA